rnacentral:rRNA from 1 species
UACGGGGGUGGCGAGCGUUACUCGGAUUUAUUGGGUGUAAAGGGCAGGUAGGCGUCCCAGCAAGUUUCAGGUGAAAUCCUUUGGCUUAACCAAAGAACUGCCUGAAAAACUGUUGGGAUUGAGACUGGAAGAGGAGAGCGGAAUUCCCGGUGUAAGGGUGAAAUCUGUAGAUAUCGGGAGGAACACCAGUGGCGAAAGCGGCUCUCUGGUCUGGUUCUGACGCUAAGCUGCGAAAGCUAGGGGAG